rnacentral:rRNA from 1 species
GUGGGGAAUAUUGCACAAUGGGCGAAAGCCUGAUGCAGCGACGCCGCGUGAGUGAAGAAGUAUUUCGGUAUGUAAAGCUCUAUCAGCAGGGAAGAAAAUGACGGUACCUGACUAAGAAGCCCCGGCUAACUACGUGCCAGCAGCCGCGGUAAUACGUAGGGGGCAAGCGUUAUCCGGAUUUACUGGGUGUAAAGGGAGCGUAGACGGCGAAGCAAGUCUGAAGUGAAAACCCAGGGCUCAACCCUGGGACUGCUUUGGAAACUGUUUUGCUAGAGUGUCGGAGAGGUAAGUGGAAUUCCUAGUGUAGCGGUGAAAUGCGUAGAUAUUAGGAGGAACACCAGUGGCGAAGGCGGCUUACUGGACGAUAACUGACGUUGAGGCUCGAAAGCGUGGGGAGCAAACAGGAUUAGAAACCCUAGUAGUCCC